rnacentral:rRNA from 1 species
AUGGCCGUCGUUAGUUCGUACUGUGAAGCAUCCUGUUAAGUCAGGCAACGAGCGAGACCCACGUCCACAGUUGCCAGCAUACCCUCCGGGGUGAUGGGUACACUGUGGAGACCGCCGCUGCUAAAGCGGAGGAAGGAGUGGGCAACGGUAGGUCAGUAUGCCCCGAAUCUCCCGGGCUACACGCGGGCUACAAUGGUUGGUACAAUGGGCAUCUACCCCGAAAGGGGAAGGAAAUCUCUUAAAGCCAAUCGUAGUUCGGAUUGAGGGCUGCAACUCGCCCUCAUGAAGCUGGAAUCCGUAGUAAUCGCGUUUCAACAGAACGCGGUGAAUACGUCCCUGCUCCUU